ACGAAGCAGAUGCUGAUUUCAAUACGUAGUGUUAUUACUACUCAUUACUACUACUUUAAUGUAGUAUUUCCCCUUUGUCAGUAUACGUCAUGAUUGCAGUGUGAACAGACGGCUUUGUAAAAAUAAGAUAUAUAUUAUUAUAAAAAUACAUAGCUUAUAUCUAUAUAUUGUAAUAAUUUUACUGUGUUGUUCCACAAGUGAUUUAAUUUGAUUUGUGUUUAAGUGAAGUGAGUUUUCGGUUUAUUGAAAGUUUUAUUACCUUUAUAUUAUAUAUAUAUUGAUAUAUUUUACAACUUUUUAUGGUGUUGUUCUUUUUUUAAUUACUCACCAAGGAAUGAGUGAGAAAAAACUAAACUUUUAUUACCUUCUACCUUGAUUAGGCUUUCUUCAUCUAUCAAGAAGCAAAAUAAGACUUCUUCCUAAUUUUCUACAAUACCUCAUUCAUCAAUAUCAAGAGCACAACUUCAUAAUGGAGCCUGGUUUUCAAGUUGGCCAAGAUGAAAAAAAUUAGAAAAGACCUCUCCAGGAUAUGGAGGGCAUAAAUAAAGGGGGAUACGAAGUUUUUGUUAUGUUUGGAGAGGAAUAUAAAGGAGGAUCCUACUACGUCGAUGAAUAGUCUCGCCAACGACUUCUCUGUGGCUGCAAAGACCAACAGAUGGUUAUAGAGACCAACAGGACCUCACACACAAAUGUGGACUCUCUGAAGUCCUCCAUAUUUGCUCCAUGGUACAACUUGUCAGAGGAGUUUGUCAUAAACUCCAGCGUUGCCUUCAGGCGACGUGUAAAGGCUGUGAUUGAUAAUGAAGGUGGACAAUUAGUAUGCAAAACAUUAUUGUAAAAACCUGUCUAUAUGAUUUGUUGCCUAUUUUUGAAAAUAAAAAAUUAUUUAUCUAUUUCUAAAUCCAUCUCUCAAGUCCACGUUUUGCUGCCCUACCCCGUAUAUUGACUAAGUACAGAGUUUUUGCCUUUUUUCAUAAGUUGAUUGAGAUAUGCGAGCUAAAAAUGACCUCGUAGGACAAUACAAUUUUACAUAGGUAAUUUUCAUACCAUGUGACAACUUUUUUGUACUAGCCGAAACCAAAAUUCGAACGACAGUUGAAUAUCAAACUACUUUAAUAUAUUUUGUUGUAAGAUGACGAUGUUUCUUAUCCUUUUCUCCCAAUCAAGGUUAACGAUAUAAAUUGGUUGAAUUAAAAUUAGCUCCUUGUAAGCUUUGAACAAUUCCCAACACUUAUAGAAAAGUCAUGCCAUAGUGUGGAAGGAUUAGCCAACAACUACCAAAAUGAUUUUGGAACAUUUUUUCUGUGUUUUCUUUAAUGAAAGGCAGCGUGAUAAAAUAAAUGUAUCGACUUGACAGGUGUUGGCUUUGUUUUUGUUAUUGUUUUAUUGCAAUCGGUGUUUACUUUUUUAAUAACGUUUUAACGUCUUAUGUUGCAGAUAUUUACAUGGAUAAAAAAUAAUACUA
rnacentral:lncRNA from 1 species